rnacentral:rRNA from 1 species
CAAGUCGAACGGAAUCCUUAGGGAUUUAGUGGCGAACGGGUGAGUAACACGUAAGAACCUGCCUCUAGGACGGGGACAACAGUUGGAAACGACUGCUAAACCCGGAUGAGCCGAAAGGUAAAAGAUUAAUCGCCUAGAGAGGGGCUUGCGUCUGAUUAGCUAGUUGGUGAGGUAAGAGCCCACCAAGGCGACGAUCAGUAGCUGGUCUGAGAGGAUGAUCAGCCACACUGGGACUGAGACACGGCCCAGACUCCUACGGGAGGCAGCAGUGGGGAAUUUUCCGCAAUGGGCGAAAGCCUGACGGAGCAAGACCGCGUGGGGGAGGAAGGUUCUUGGAUUGUCAGCCCCCUUUCUCAGGGAAGAACACAAUGACGGUACCUGAGGAAAAAGCAUCGGCUAACUCCGUGCCAGCAGCCGCGGUAAUACGGGGGAUGCAAGCGUUAUCCGGAAUGAUUGGGCGUAAAGAGUCCGUAGGUAGUCAUCCAAGUCUGCUGUUAAAGAGCGAGGCUUAACCUCGUAAAGGCAGUGGAAACUGGAAGACUAGAGUGUAGUAGGGGCAGAGGGAAUUCCUGGUGUAGCGGUGAAAUGCGUAGAGAUCAGGAAGAACACCGGUGGCGAAGGCGCUCUGCUGGGCUAUAACUGACACUGAGGGACGAAAGCUAGGGGAGCGAACGGGAUUAGAUACCCCAGUAGUCCUAGCGGUAAACGAUGGAAACUAGGUGUGGCCUGUAUCGACCCGGGCCGUGCCGAAGCAAACGCGUUAAGUUUCCCGCCUGGGGAGUACGCACGCAAGUGUGAAACUCAAAGGAAUUGACGG